UGGAGGUGAUGAAAUAGAGAUAAUUGGGUGUCUGUUUGAAUGGAGUGUGUGUGAUAAAUAGAAUUUAAACCAAGUUAAGCUGGGGGUGGGGUGCGGGGAAUGUGUGUGUCUGUGCAUGUAAAGAAAAGGCUUAAAGCGGGGGCACUGAUAAUGCAGUGCUGAUUCCGGAGUGCAUCUGAGGCAUGUUGUUGAGUUCUGGGCUGCCACUUUACAACAUUGCCAAUGAUUAAAGCCCAAAACAAGCCCACCAAAAUAAGCCUAGGCAUCUUAAAUCUCUAACAGGUUCAUAAAUGAAAGUGAUCCUGUGAUCUGAUCCAA
rnacentral:snoRNA from 1 species